rnacentral:rRNA from 1 species
AGAAUGAACGUUGGCGGCGUGGAUUAGGCAUGCAAGUCGUACGGGCCGCAAGGCCAGUGGCGCAAGGGUGAGUAAGGCGACGGUAACCAACCCCAAGAUUGGGUAUAGCCGCGGGAAACUGCGGGUAAUCCCCAGCGACGUCCGGGAGGGGCAUCCUUCCUUGACCAAAGCUCCGGCGUCGUGGGACGGGCUGUCGUGGUAUUAGCUUGUUGGCGGGGUAAUGGCCCACCAAGGCUCUGAUGCCUACCGGGCGUGCGAGCGUGGCCCGGCACACUGGGACUGAGACACUGCCCAGACUCCUACGGGAGGCUGCAGUCGAGAAUCUUCGGCAAUGGGCGCAAGCCUGACCGAGCGACGCCGCGUGGAGGACGAAGCCCUUCGGGGUGUAAACCACUGUCAAGGGAAGAAAGUUCUGAUCUACCCUAGAGGAAGAGGCGGCUAACUCUGUGCCAGCAGCCGC